CUUAAAUCCUACGGCUGACUGGCAUUUGGGUAACCGAAAAAGAAUUGUAACAACUAAAAUAAAGUUCUCUAAGUACGUAUUAAUAAUGAUAAUAUGUAUAAAAGUCUUGACCAAUUACGUGCCAGCAGUCGCGGUAAUACGUAGGAGACGAGCAUUAUUCAUAUUAAAUAGGUUUAAAGGGUACCCAAACGGUCAAAAUAUCUUAAAUAAAAAGAAAUACUUGACUCUAGUUAUAUGUGAGGAGACCGCACUUGAGGUGAGAGCCCCCUCCGGCGGUGCCCCAAGAGGACAGGCAAGGCAAAACUUUUUUUUAUGUAAAAGCUGACGAUGGAUGGGAACGCUCGGGCCGAACAGGAUUUGACACGCCAGUAGUCUUUGCAGACAAUGAUGAGGGCGAUGAACUAGAGUAUAAGAUUAUUAUUAAUAAUUGAAAUGGAAAGCUUUUCCCCUCAAGUUUAUUUGCUGUAGGGCCAAAUCUGUAUUUCCCUACACCGUUUCCGACCCCCAGGGGGAAGCGAGGUAACAAAUUCCCCCCCCCGAGGGACUUUU
rnacentral:rRNA from 1 species